GAACCCUGUAAUUUACAUUACUGAAAAUGGUCGUGAUGAGUUCAACGAUCCAACAUUAUCUCUUGAAGAAUCUCUCUUAGAUACUUAUAGGAUUGAUUACUACUAUCGUCAUCUUUACUAUCUUGAAACUGCAAUUAGGGAUGGUGUGAAUGUAAAGGGAUAUUUUGCAUGGUCAUUGUUGGAUAACUUUGAAUGGGAUUCUGGCUUGAGCUUGAGAUUUGGACUCGUCUUCGUUGAUUUU